AAAGUCAGAAGACCACCGCAAGCUCUGGGCAUCACUUACAAAGGCCUUAUGAGGCAUUCUAGAUACUGAGCUAGAGUCCACGGAUUCAGCAAAGCAGUGCCCGGAACACCUGGGCAAUCGUGGGGCUUCGACAGCUCUAUCGUAUCGUACUGUGACCUAAAUCAUGCAGGCUCUUAGCAUGAUAAAGCUGGAGUGAGCUCUGACAAGCAAAGUUGCGUUACAGAGGUGGGGCUGAUUCCUAUCUGCUGCAGCUAACAAAG
rnacentral:lncRNA from 1 species